UUUAGGAGACCACUCUGUAUUGUGAUCUGUUUAUCACUAACUCUUCCUCCCCAGGCACAAGAUAUGUAGGUAACAUAGCCUUGGGGAGCAACACCAAUCAGAAAUGUAACAGUAUGCAUAUUUGGAAAUGCAUGUGUGUAUAAUAGGAAGAUGAAUCCACGAGGAUAUCCAUCCAGGACCUAUGAUCCAGGACCACAGCCACGACUCAAGAUCCAGGGCUCGCGAUCCAGGACAGAGGAGCGCAGGAUCAUCCAUGACUCCGGAUCCCGGCGUAUAUAGACACCAGGGUCAGGAGGGGACGGGACCUCCAGGACCCUCCCAGGGACGUGCUGUGGGCCAGAUUUGUUAAAGAAGUGCUCAAACCAUACCUGAGUGGAUUGGAGAGCAACCUCAAGAACAGGUUCCCAGACGUCGAGUUGUUGGGGGGCCUUUGUUGUGCUUAGUCCUCGGGCAGCAAUGGCAGACGAAGACACCAACAUUGAAAACCUUGACAUUCUUGCGAGGAAGCUCAUCCCAGGGCGGGAAGAAGACCUUAAAACGGAGUGGUACUCCUUCAAACCCCACCUCACAGGAGCUUUCAAGGACAACAGUCAAGCUGAGAUCAUGCAGAUGCUGGCAAGCGAGAACGAUGAGUGGGCCGAACUCUAUCCUCUACUCGGCAAGCUUUCUGCGGCUGGGCUGGUGAUCCCGGUCUAAAGUGUGAACUGUGAGCGAGACUUCUCGACGAUGAACCGGGAAAGCGGUCCCGGGAUGACAGCUUCCCUGACACCAUCAUGGCGAUGGAGGACCGCCGUGCCAUGCUCAGCCUUUCAGGCUGGGCUUCUGGCAGUGCUAAGCGAGCUGAUUAAAUCCAAUAGGCCUUCAAUUAAAAAAAAACUUGUCAUCGUUGAUAAACUAUACAAUGACAUGUUGGGAGGCGUGUGGCGCAGUGGGUGAGUGCGUUGGUGUUCGGAUCAGGGGAGCGCAGGUUCAUACCCCACUGCAGUCAGCAUGUUGUUGUGUCCCUGGGCAAGACACUUCACCCCAAAUUGCCUACAUCUGGGACAGUUAAUGUUGUAUUAUUGUGAUUAUAUAUAUAUGCCACUGUUAUUAAUACUGACACUUCACUUUGCACUAAGGUGUGUCUGCUGCUGAGCCUACCUAUUAUUGUUAUUAUAUACAGUAUAUAUAUACUGUAUAUUGUUUUGAUACUACUGACACUUUCUUUUAUAUUGAAAAUGUUAACUUCUAUUUACAUUAAAACUUUUAACUUGUAUUUACAUGCAUACAACACACCUGGGACAGCGUGAUGCCGUUAUUGAUAUUGUCUUGAGUGUGCAAUAAAAGAGAACCUAC